GCUAAGGACGGUCCGGAUGCGGGGGUAAUACGUGGGGUGCGACUGUGAAGCGGGAUUUCUGGGCGUGAAGCGUGCGCAGGCGGUUUUGUAAGACAGUGGUGAAAUCCCCGGGCUCAACCUGGGAACUGCCAUUGUGACUGCAAGGCUGGAGUGCGGCAGAGGGGGAUGGAAUUCCGCGUGUAGCAGUGAAAUGCGUAGAUAUGCGGAGGAACACCGAUGGCGAAGGCAAUCCCCUGGGCCUGCACUGACGCUCAUGCACGAAAGCGUGGGGAGCAAACAGGAUUAGAUACCCUAGUAGUC
rnacentral:rRNA from 1 species